UCUCAAAAAAGCAGGUCAUCUUACGCAUC
rnacentral:piRNA from 1 species